UGGGGAAUCAUGGUCAAUGGACGCAAGUCUGAACCAGCCAUGCCGCGUGAAGGAAGACGGCCCUACGGGUUGUAAACUUCUUUUGUACGGGAAAAAAUCUCCGGUCGUGAAUCGGAGCUGAUGGUACCGUAAGAAUAAGCAUCGGCUAACUCCGUGCCAGCAGCCGCGGUACUACGGAGGAUGCAAGCGUUAUCCGGAUUCAUUGGGUUUAACGGGUGCGCAGGCGGAAUGAUAAGUCAGUGGUGAAAUCCUACGGCUCAACUGUAGAACUGCCAUUGAUACUGUCGUUCUUGAGUACACUUGGAGUGGGCGGAAUGUGUCAUGUAGCGGUGAAAUGCUUAGAUAUGACACAGAACACCGAUCGCGAAGGCAGCUCACUAAAUUGUAACUGACGCUCAGGCGCGAAAGCGUGGGGAUCAAACA
rnacentral:rRNA from 1 species